rnacentral:lncRNA from 1 species
GGUCUGUGGAGUGUGGGCUGGUCCUCUGGGACCUUUCUUCCUUCGGCUUCCACCCAGCCUUGCCGUUUCACAGCCCUCACAGAGGGCACCUGGACAGCAGAGGGAGCCCAUCUCCCCAGGAGUUGGAGGGGCUGGCUUACCCAGCAAGCUCCACGCCACGAUGGGGCCCCCGUGCCUCGGCCUCCUGCCCAGACCCUGGGCGGUCCCCACGGUGCUCAGCCUGCCCCUGGCUGCUCCCCCCCGGGGCCGGGCCCAGGCCUGGAGCCCAGACGGUGGGGACGGCUCAGGACUCACGGGAGCCUGGUGGAGUGGAGGACUCUAAAUCUGGAACAAGAACCACCUGGGCUCGAAGUCACGACUUUUAUUUUGGAAAACAAGCAAAAGAAAAUGCAGCCUGGAAUCUUCAAACGAGGAGAAAAACCCCAUUCAGUGUGACCUCAGGUGCCAGAGUUCUGCUGGGGGAAUCUUUGCCCCGACUGUGUCUGCUCCAUCCUCCUCUGUGCAAGUCAGGGUUCAGGGGCUGUACUACUCUUCCAGGACUGCCAUAGCGAAGGACCCCAGAUGCGGUGGUUUACCAACAGAAAUGUACUUUUCAUUGUUCUGGAGCCUAGAAGCUCAAGAUCAAGAUGUCAUGUCAGCAGAGAUCAAGUUCUUGCUCCCUGGCUUGUACACAGCUGUCUUCCUGAGUCUUCUCGAGGUCUCCCCUCCAUGUGUAUCUGUGUCCUAUUCUCUUUCUAUAAGCACAUCAGUCGUGUUAGAUUAGGGCCCAUCCUAAUGACCUCGUUUUAACUCAGUUACCUCUCUAGAGACCCUAUCUCCAAAUAUGGUCACAUUCUGAGACACUGGAGGUUAAGACUUCAUAAGGAUUUUGGGGGGACACAAUUCAGUCCAUAACAAUGCAGAGAAUGGGGAUCACUCUAGGUGUCUCAAGCAGACAGGGAUUUAAUACAGGGUACAAGGUACUUACAAAGCCACUGGAAGGGCUGGAGGAGCAGGCUCUAGACGUGACCCCCUUAGGAAGGCUGCAGAACCCACCCUCCAGGGAGUGGCUGCCUCCUGCCCAGUCAGGGAGUUGGGAUGCUGCCACUGGAACUGUUGGCUGUGGAAACACCUCCACGGGGGCUGCUCUCCGGAGAUCCUGAGAUGCUGCCCUCAGUGUUGGCUCCAGAGCCACACUGCACCAGAAAAAGCAGGUGUCCCCAAGACUUCCGCCCAUCAGGACUGGCUGCAGAAGAACCCAACGGCAGUGUAUAAUCAUGCUUGCCCGUCACGUAGCAGAAACCUCUGCACCAUUUCUCACAUGGGUCUGCCUGGUGGAACCUAGUGUAUGUGCAUGUCCCCAGCUGCAAGGCAGUCUGGGAAGUGCAGUGGGAUGUUGAGCACUAACCCGGUCUAUCCAGCACAUUCUUUGUGUGCCUGUUGGAGCAGCUCCCUAUGCUUUCUUGUUUUUGCUCCUUCAGAACCUCAAUUUGUAAAUGGCCUGGGCUUGUCAUCCUUCCACGUGCAGCUUUCGCAACUCACUGCCUCAGUUUCUCUGUUCUCAUAUGA